CGAACGCACAGCGAAAGGUGCUUGCACCUUUCAAGUGAGUGGCGAACGGCUGAGUAACACGUGGACAACCUGCCUCAAGGCUGGGGAUAACAUUCGGAAACAGAUGCUAAUACCGAAUAAAACUUAGUGUCGCAUGACACAAAGUUAAAAGGCGCUUCGGCGUCACCUAGAGAUGGAUCCGCGGUGCAUUAGUUAGCUGGUGGGGUAAAGGCCUACCAAGACAAUGAUGCAUAGCCGAGUUGAGAGACUGAUCGGCCACAUUGGGACUGAGACACGGCCCAAACUCCUACGGGAGGCUGCAGUAGGGAAUCUUCCACAAUGGGCGAAAGCCUGAUGGAGCAACGCCGCGUGUGUGAUGAAGGCUUUCGGGUCGUAAAGCACUGUUGUAUGGGAAGAACAGCUAGAAUAGGAAAUGAUUUUAGUUUGACGGUACCAUACCAGAAAGGGACGGCUAAAUACGUGCCAGCAGCCGCGGUAAUACGUAUGUCCCGAGCGUUAUCCGGAUUUAUUGGGCGUAAAGCGAGCGCAGACGGUUUAUUAAGUCUGAUGUGAAAGCCCGGAGCUCAACUCCGGAAUGGCAUUGGAAACUGGUUAACUUGAGUGCAGUAGAGGUAAGUGGAACUCCAUGUGUAGCGGUGGAAUGCGUAGAUAUAUGGAAGAACACCAGUGGCGAAGGCGGCUUACUGGACUGCAACUGACGUCGAGGCUCGAAAGUGUGGGUAGCAAACAGGAUUAGAUACCCUGGUAGUCCACACCGUAAACGAUGAACACUAGGUGUUAGGAGGUUUCCGCCUCUUAGUGCCGAAGCUAACGCAUUAAGUGUUCCGCCUGGGGAGUACGACCGCAAGGUUGAAACUCAAAGGAAUUGACGGGGACCCGCACAAGCGGUGGAGCAUGU
rnacentral:rRNA from 1 species